rnacentral:rRNA from 1 species
GACGAACGCUGGCGGCGUGCUUAACACAUGCAAGUCGAACGCUGAAGCUCAGCUUUUGUUGGGUGGAUGAGUGGCGAACGGGUGAGUAACACGUGAGUAACCUGCCUCCUUCUUUGGGAUAACGCCCGGAAACGGGUGCUAAUACUGGAUAUUCACUGGUCUUCGCAUGGGGGUUGGUGGAAAGGGUUUUUCUGGUGGGGGAUAGGCUCGCGGCCUAUCAGCUUGUUGGUGGGGUGAUGGCCUACCAAGGCUUUGACGGGUAGCCGGCCUGAGAGGGUGACCGGUCACAUUGGGACUGAGAUACGGCCCAGACUCCUACGGGAGGCAGCAGUGGGGAAUAUUGCACAAUGGGCGCAAGCCUGAUGCAGCGACGCCGCGUGAGGGAUGGAGGCCUUCGGGUUGUGAACCUCUUUCGCUCAUGGUCAAGCCGCAACAAUGGUUGUGGUGAGGGUAGUGGGUAAAGAAGCGCCGGCUAACUACGUG